rnacentral:rRNA from 1 species
UACGUAGGGUGCGAGCAUUGUCCGGAAUUAUUGGGCGUAAAGAGCUCGUAGGCGGUGUGUCACGUCGGCCGUGAAAACCUGCAGCUUAACUGUGGGCGUGCGGUCGAUACGGGCAUCACUGGAGUUCGGCAGGGGAGACUGGAAUUCCUGGUGUAGCGGUGAAAUGCGCAGAUAUCAGGAGGAACACCGGUGGCGAAGGCGGGUCUCUGGGCCGAUACUGACGUGAGGAGCGAAAGCGGUGGGGAGCAAACAGGG